GAUGAACGCUAGCGGCAGGCCUAACACAUGCAAGUCGAGGGGUAGCAGGAUUAAGCUUGCUUAAUUGCUGACGACCGGCGCACGGGUGCGUAACUCGUAUGCAACCUACCUUAUACUGGGGUAUAGCCCGGAGAAAUUCGGAUUAAUCCCCCAUAGUACUAAUGAAUCGCAUGGUUUAUUAGUUAAAGCAUUGCGGUAUAAGAUGGGCAUGCGUCCUAUUAGCUAGAUGGUGAGGUAACGGCUCACCAUGGCUACGAUAGGUAGGGGGCCUGAGAGGGUGGUCCCCCACACGGGUACUGAGACACGGGCCAGACUCCUACGGGAGGCAGCAGUGAGGAAUAUUGGUCAAUGGGCGCAAGCCUGAACCAGCCAUACCGCGUGCAGGAAGAAUGCCCUAUGGGUUGUAAACUGCUUUUAUUUGGGAAUAAACCUCUUUACGUGUAGAGAGCUGAAGGUACCAAAUGAAUAAGCACCGGCUAACUCCGUGCCAGCAGCCGCCGUAA
rnacentral:rRNA from 1 species